rnacentral:lncRNA from 1 species
UCCCUAGAGAAAAAAAUCAGUGGAAUUACACUGGAAUACCACUGAUAUUCCAUUGUAAUUUCCACUGGAAUUCCAGUAAUUAUCAAUGGAAUAAUUUGGCUGGAAUUCCACUGGAACUACAUUGGCUUUCCACUGGAAUUACAGUGAAAAUUCCAGUGUUAUUUCACUGGAUUCCAGCCAAAUUAUUCCACUGAUAAUCACUGGAAUUCCAGUGGAAAUUACAGUGUUAUUUCACUUGUAUUCCAGUGGAAUUCCAGCCAAAUUAUUCCAGUGGAAUGCGAAUGUAAUUCCAGUGGUAUUUUGCUGCAACUCCAGUGGAAUAACUACAGUUCCAGUGGAAUUGCUACUCUGACAUAUACGCCCUAUUGCUGGCCUUAUCACUACUUCUGAGAAACACAAAAUAUAGUGAUUCAUCAUAUGAUUGAUCUGAUCAUAUUCAAAUAAAUAACAUUUUUAACAUCCUAUCCAUGAACAGAAAAAUGUCCUGCAUGGUUUGUAUAAGUAGAAUAAAAACAGUGUCUAUAUGGUCAGCUUAAACCGUACCCACAAACUGAUUAACUAAUAUAAAAAUUAUGUGUGAUAUAUAAAC